CAGAGUGUAGCUAAACCUAGAAUAGCAUCUCCCUUACACUGAGAAGAUCCCCGUGCGAAUCGGGUCGCCCUGA
rnacentral:tRNA from 3 species